rnacentral:rRNA from 1 species
UACGAAGGGGGCUAGCGUUGCUCGGAAUGACUGGGCGUAAAGGGCGCGUAGGCGGAUGGCACAGUCAGAUGUGAAAUUCCCGGGCUUAACCUGGGGGCUGCAUUUGAUACGUGUGAUCUAGAGUGAGGAAGAGGGUCGUGGAAUUCCCAGUGUAGAGGUGAAAUUCGUAGAUAUUCGCAGGAACACCAGUGGCGAAGGCGGCUCACUGGUCCGGUACUGACGCUGAGGUGCGAAAGCGUGGGGAGCAAACAGG